rnacentral:rRNA from 1 species
UCGAGUCUUUGAACGCACAUUGCGCCUUUUGGUAUUCCGAAAGGCACGUCUGUUCGAGCGUCAGUAAAACCCUUCCGGACCGGUGAUUUUUGCAAAAGAACCGCCUGGCCUCGGGACCCUGGCGUGGGGAAGUGACCCCGGAGCCCUCGUGGCUCCGCUGGGUUUCCCCCGCUUAAACGCGGAGAAAGCUAGCGGGCAUUGGCCUCACAUAUUGCGACAACUCGUAAACUUUACAACGUUGGAAGCACAGUGGACCUGCCCCGCCUCUUGCAACACAUAGGAACCUUCACGGUUCCCUGACCUUUGACCUCAGAUCAGAUGAGGAUACCCGCUGAACUUAAGCAUAUCAAUAAGCGGAGGAAAAGAAACCAACAGGGAUUGCCUCAGUAGCGGCGAGUGAAGCGGCAAAAGCUCAGAUUUGAAAUCCGGUGCGCUCCGCGCUCCCGAGUUGUAAUCUGGAGAGGAUGCUUCGGCGAGGACCCGGGCCCAAGUCCCUUGGAACAGGGCGUCUAAGAGGGUGAGAACCCCGUACCCGGCCCGCGGUAUUAGCCAUGUGUAGCUCCUUCGACGAGUCGAGUUGUUUGGGAAUGCAGCUCAAACUGGGUGGUAAAUUCCAUCUAAAGCUAAAUAUUGGCGGGAGACCGAUAGCGCACAAGUAGAGUGAUCGAAAGAUGAAAAGCACUUUGAAAAGAGAGUUAAAAAGUACGUGAAAUUGUUGAAAGGGAAGCGCUUGCCAUCAGAAUCGGUGCCGGUCGAUCAACGUUCCUUCUGGUUCGUGCACUCGUCCGGUUUUCCGUGCCAGCAUCGGUUGGCGCGGCGGGACAAAAGCUGCGGGAAAGUGGCUCCCCUCGGGGAGUGUUAUAGCCCGCGGCACAAUACCGCCUGCU